UUCUACAACUAUUGAUUGGUCUGCAGCUCUUCUUAGUAAUUGUGGCAUUCCACUGUGGGAAAGAAACUGUUACACAAUUGAACACUUCUUAGCAAAACAGAAAGUAGGCAUAUGUGUGAAGUAUAGAA
ensembl:snoRNA